UGGGCUACACACGUGCUACAAUGGCGGUGACAAAGAGAAGCAAUAGGGCAACCUGGAGCAAAUCCCAAAAAGCCGUCUCAGUUCGGAUUGUUCUCUGCAACUCGAGAGCAUGAAGUUGGAAUCGCUAGUAAUCGUAGAUCAGCAUGCUACGGUGAAUACGUUCCCGGGCCUUGUACACACCGCCCGUCACACCAUGGGAGUUGGUUUUACCCGAAGACGGUAUCCUAACCUUUUAGGAGGGAGCCGGCCACGGUAGGGUCAGCGACUGGGGUGAAGUCGUAANNNNNNNNNNGCGGCUGGAUCACCUCCUGU
rnacentral:rRNA from 1 species